UCCUACGGGAGGCAGCAGUGGGGAAUAUUGCACAAUGGGGGAAACCCUGAUGCAGCCAUGCCGCGUGUAUGAAGAAGGCCUUCGGGUUGUAAAGUACUUUCAGCAGUGAGGAAGGGGUGUACGUUAAUAGCGUGCAUCUUUGACGUUAGCUGCAGAAGAAGCACCGGCUAACUCCGUGCCAGCAGCCGCGGUAAUACGGAGGAUCCAAGCGUUAUCCGGAUUCAUUGGGUUUAAAGGGUCCGUAGGCGGGUCUUUAAGUCAGUGGUGAAAGCCGACAGCUCAACUGUCGAACUGCCAUUGAUACUGGAGACCUUGAGUACAAAUGAAGUAGGCGGAAUGAGUCAUGUAGCGGUGAAAUGCAUAGAUAUGACUCAGAACACCGAUUGCGAAGGCAGCUUACUAACAUGUAACUGACGCUGAGGGACGAAAGCGUGGGGAGCGAACAGGAUUAGAUACCCUGGUAGUCCACGCCGUAAACGAUCAUCACUCGCUGUUGGCGAUAUACUGUCAGCGGCCAAGCGAAAGUAUUAAGUGAUGCACCUGGGGAGUACGCCGGCAACGGUGAAACUCAAAGGAAUUGACGGA
rnacentral:rRNA from 1 species